UACGUAGGGGGCAAGCGUUGUCCGGAUUUAUUGGGCGUAAAGCGCGUGUAGGCGGCUUUGCAAGUCGGGUGUGAAAGCCCUCGGCUCAACCGAGGAGGUGCGCCCGAAACUGCAGAGCUUGAGUACCGGAGAGGAUGGCGGAAUUCCCCAAGUAGAGGUGAAAUUCGUAGAUAUGGGGAGGAACACCGGUGGCGAAGGCGGCCAUCUGGACGGAUACUGACGCUGAGACGCGAAAGCGUGGGGAGCAAACAGG
rnacentral:rRNA from 1 species